rnacentral:lncRNA from 1 species
UAUAUAUAUAUAUAUAUAUAUAGCAAUCUUUAUAUUUAUUUAUAUGGUGAAAAACCUGCUAAAAGUUUUUAACUUAGUUUGAUUUUCUAGCGGAAUUGGCCUCCAGUGUAGGUCUGGCCAAAGGACCAGCCUGCAGGGGCAACAUUGUAGGAGACUAUGGCGCGGCCAUCGCUGGUGACUACUCUGAAGGAGAGGCUUUGGCCAUUGAGGUAGGAGUUGCUUUGCCAGUUUUGGCCCCAGUUCCUUGACAUAGGCUGCCAGGCAGUUCUUGAACCCUUGAUGGAAACAGCAUGGACAUCGCCGGCGCCCCCCACGUUGGUGACGAGGACAAGAUUGAAGUAGGAAUGGCCAUUGACGGUGAACCUGAUGCCUCCUGAUUUUCUGCAGGAAACCCUACAAAACCCAUGAAGGAAGAAGCAUUGUGAGCUCGCCAGUAAAGAGAAAUCAGUACAAGAAAUGCUGGAACGGUGAAUUGGGGGCAAAUGGCAAUUGGCAUACCUUCUGUAAGCGACAGGGACAAUCCCAGCUCUGUACUGAGCAAUGUGUUGGAAGACAGGCUGAGAGAGAUCAAAGUGUUGCUGGGGAGGAUCACACCAGCCUCCUGGUGGGCAGAAGUUAGUGGCAGUGACGACAAUGGUGCCAGGGAGGCACCACUGGGGAUCAUUCACACACCUAAGCUCAAAACAGGCGCCACAGCUGAGGCCAUUGUUGAAAAGAGCUGUGCUCAAUGCUGCAGUGUUGGUCCCAUACCCCUGGCUGUACAGGUUUCCAUAUCCACAAGCUCCACC